rnacentral:rRNA from 1 species
UGCACCAGUCGCGAAUCCUUCGCAAUGCGGGAAACCGCGACGAGGGGACUCCCAGUGCCUACGCUCAGCGUAGGCUGUUCCCGAGCCUAGAAAGCUCGGGGAGUAAGGGCUGGGUAAGACGGGUGCCAGCCGCCGCGGUAAUACCCGCAGCCCGAGUGGUGGCCACUAUUAUUGGGCCUAAAGCGUCCGUAGCCGGCCCGGUAAAUGCCUGGGUAAAUCGUGAGGCCUAACCUCACGAAUUCCGGGUAGACUGCCGGGCUAGGGACCGGAGGAGGGAGAGGGGUACUCCGAGGGGUAGGGGUGAAAUCCUGUAAUCCCUGGAGGACCACCGGUGGCGAAGGCGCUCUCCUAGGACGGGUCCGACGGUGAGGGACGAAAGCCAGGGGAGCGAACCGGAUUAGAUACCCGUGUAGU